GGAGCUGUGGCUCAGUGGUAGAGCAUCUGCUUUGUGUGCAGAAAGUCCUAGGUUCAACUCCUGGCAUCUCCA